rnacentral:lncRNA from 1 species
GCAACCUGUACUCGGAAGGUAGGGAGGUUGACCAGAAAAGCUUCCGG